AUGGCGAGAGCGCUCCUGGAGUCCGCGGGCGGCGCGGCGGCGGCGGCGGCGUGGGGUUUCCUGCCGCCGUGGCUCGCGGCGCUCGGCAUGGGCGUGGCGUCGGUCUGGGCCGUCUCGUUCGCCGUGUUCCUCUGCGGCCGCAGCAGCUCGCGCGACGACGCCCCCAAGAAGAAGCCCGCCCCUGCUGCCACGGCCCCGAAGGCGACCAGCUCCGUGAGUGUCGCCCCGGCCCCGAAGACGAGCGCGCCCGCGAGUGUCGCCACGGUCCCGAUGGCGAGCCGACCCGCGAGUGUCGCCGCGGCCCCGAAGGCGAGCACGCCCGUGACUGUGGCCACGGCACCGAAGGCGAGCACGCCCGCGAGUGUCGCCGCGGCCCCGAUGGAGAGCCGGCCCGCGAGUGUCGCCGCGGCCCCGAUGACGAGCACACCCGCGAGUGUCGCCACGGCUCCGAUGGCGAGCCGACCCGAGAGUGUCGCCACGGCAGCGAAGGCGAGGACGCCCGUGAGUGUCGCCACGGACGCGACGUCGAGAUGGCCCGUGAGUGUCGCCACGGCACCGAUGGCGAGCCGACCCGCGAGUGUCGCCACGGCAGCGAAGGUGAGCAGGCCGGCGAUCUUCGCGCCCACCACGGUGAGCUCGUCGAGGUCCGGGAGCACGGUGGUGGACACGACGGGGUGGUACGGAGCCGCGUACGCCUCCGGUGGAUGCCAUGGCCACGGCCACGGCCACUGCCAUGGGCAAGGUGGCGGCGGUGGCGGCGGCGGAGGUGGUGGUGGUGGUGGUGGUGGCUGCGGCGGCGGCGGAGGCGGUGGUGGUGGCGGCGGCGGUGGCUGCGGCGGCUGCUAA
rnacentral:rRNA from 1 species